UGUGAUGUCUCUCAGUUGGUAAAGAGCUUGCCUAGGAUGCAUGAAGUCCUGGGUUUGAUCCCUAGCAACACAU
rnacentral:tRNA from 1 species